UGAUUUGUUUUGUUUGCUUUAAAAUUAUCAUUGCAGGGGAAGCACUGCCGAAUAGAUGAUGAACAAGUGAUAGAAAAUUAGCCCCUGGCUGAACUCACCAAAGCUCUCUGGGCUGGGAUUAAAGGUAACAGAAUCCAGAGGUGCCUAGCCUUGGGGAGGUCGCCUUGUGGACUUUGAUCAGGUCCAACAACGUGCUCAAUUUCCUGAUCUUUUUAAUCUGGAGCCAGCAAGAAAAUCUGAUCAGGGACAAAGAGUGGAUCAGACUCCAAAGGAAAGGCCAUCCAGAGACUGCCCCACCUGGGGGAUCCAUCACAUUUGCAGCUACCAAACCCAGACACUAUUGCUGAUGCCAAGAAGUGAUUGCUGACAGGAGCCUGAUAUAGCUGUCUCCUGAGAGGCUCUGCCAGAGCCUGACCAAUACAGAUUUGGAUGCUUGUAGCCAACCAUCGGACUGAGCAUGGAGAGCCCAAUGGAGGAGUUAGGGGAAGGACUGUAAGAGCUGAGGGGGUUUGCAGUCUCAUAGAAGAACAGCAAUAUCAACCAACCAGACCUCCCAGAGCUCCUAGGGACUAAACUACCAACCAAAGAGUACCCAUGGCUCCAGCUUCUUAUGUAGCAGAGAACGGCUUUAUCUAGCAUCAGUGGGAGGGAGGCCCUUGGUCCUGUGGAGGCUUGAUGCCAAAGUGUAGGGGAAUGCUAGGGCGGCAAG